rnacentral:rRNA from 1 species
AUGCAUGCCCUAUAUGUCAAACCUACAAAGGCCAAGUCCAGAACACAUGGUUAUACAUGCCUUUGCCUGUUCCUAUCGCUCCAUGGGAGGGCAUCUCUAUGGACUUCGUCUUGGGCUUGCCAAGAACAAGACGAGGGAGUGAUGCUGUGUUUGUGGUCGUGGACAGAUUCUCUAAGAUGGCUCAUUUCAUCCCAUGCCGCAAGACAACAGAUGCUCAUCAUGUGGCAAGCCUAUUUCUUUCGAGAAGUGUUCAGACUUCAUGGAGUUCCAAGGUCCAUCGUCUCAGACCGUGAUAGCAAGUUUCUUGCUGCAUUUUGGCUCACUUUGUGGAAGCAAUUCAACACUGAAUUGAAAUUUUCUAGCACUGCUCAUCCACAAACAGAUGGACAAACGGGAGUGGUGAACAAGUUUUUGGGUAAUCUGAUCUGUUGCAUUUGUGGAGAAAGAAAGGGGCAAUGGGAUUUGGCUUUAUCUCUUGUAGAGUUCUCCUACAAUAACUCCAAGCAUAGAUCCACAGGAAGGAGCCCUUUUUCCAUUGUCUACACUAAAGUUCCAACACAUGUGGUGGACCUGGUGAAGCUACCAUCAAGGGGAAACUCAAAAUUAGCAUUGUCCUUUGCUGAUAAUUACACCGAGUUAUUUGAAGAGAUUCGCGGCGCUUUGGAAGCACAAAAUCAGAAAUAUAAACAACUUGCUGAUUGCAAAAGGAGGCCAAAAUCAUUCCAAGUCGGUGAUAAGGUGAUGGUCUACCUCCGAAAAGAGAGGCUGCCAUUAGGUGUUAAAGGGAAACUUAGGCAGCGAAGGUAUGUGCCCUUCUCUAUCGUGAGGAGGAUAAAUGAUAAUGCUUAUGUGAUAGAUCGUCCAAGUGACAUGGGUAUCUCCAACACUUCCAAUGUUGCGGACUUGACUCUCUACCAUCCAAAAGAAGCGCUCUAUGAAGAUAACUUGAGGGCGAGUUCCAAACUACCAGGGGAGAAUGAUGAGGAACACUAG